UGUUCCUACAUACUGUUCUAUAGUGAAGACAGAUAUUCUAUAGCACAAACAGAUGUUCCUAAGUUGCAAUGAAGUGUUCAGAAGACAGACAGAGUUUCCUUUUGCAAUGAAAUUAUCCAGAACACAUAGUUGAUUAGAUUUCCAGUUCAUUACAUACCUGACAUUUUCUCAAGAAAAACACAAGAUUUCAAUGUUCAACCUGAAAGGAGAAAUUCUUAAAAUUUAUGCUGGACAUCUCAUAUCAAGGAUCCAUCACAAUAUGGAUAUUAGACUUAUGAAGAAUAUUCUGAUAAAUUAACGAUGUACGACAAAUCGUGCUACAAGUAUCAUACCAGCAGAAUUAUUUGAUGGGAGUAAAACAGGAGCAGGAUCUCACCUCAUACAAGUGAGGAGGAACAGUUGAACUGAUGAACUUUGAACUGAUAAACUUGGAAACAUCUGAAAGGUAUACAUAAGAAAAAAAGACCACCUAGAAUAAGAAAAGAGAAAGAGUUAACUCAUAGAGAUAAGGGUAAAAACAGACCACAUAGAAUAAGGAAAGAGAAAGAUUAACUCAUAGAGUAAAGGGUAAAAACAGACCACAUAGAAUAAGGAAAGAGAAAGAUUAACUCAUAGAGUAAAGGGUAGACGAAACUAUCAACACUUUGAAAUUAACAAAAGCAAUAAUCAACAUAACAGCUGCUUCAUCACCAUCUCAGAGGUUAGGUCUCUAACUGACUCAAAUGAUGAACUUAUAACACACUUAACAGAUUAUCAGCAUAGUUGAACAAUGAACACUUCAGAGACAAAAUAUUCUUGGCAAUGAAAAUAUAUGACUGAAAUUUCAUAAUUGUAUAUGGUCAGUGGGAGAGAGAGAAAGAUGUAGAAUGGUCAGAGUGGGAGAGGGAGAAUACUUAUGAUGAUGAGUGGGGAGAAAUAGAGAACAAUUAUUGCAACCGGUAAAUUUGUCUUCAACCAAACUCAUGGCUUGUGUUGAUGUGUCUAACCUUAGACAUCUGAUAUUUUUAUUAUCUAGAGCUCUGUUUAAAAAAAAAUGUAAAAAAUAAUAUGAAAACAAAAUUUAAACAGUUCUAGAUAAUAAACAUUAAGGGUGGUGUAAAAAGUGGGCAUAUUUUAAAUUUUCUUUUUUUCACCAAUGUAUUUAUGAAAUUUAAAACUUUAAAGUCAGAAUGUUUAAUUGGACGUACAAUUGUUUUGAUUUUAGAUAUUUGGGGACAAAACCUAUUCUUCUCCAUUUAUUACACUCUAAAAGUGUCAUUAAUUUGCAAUAUUCUUAUUUUGAUUUUCUUUGCUUAUACCUCUAACCUUAGACAUCCAAUAUUUUUAUUAUCUAGAGCUCUGUAAAAAAAUAACAAAAUUGUAAAUAGAGUUCUAGAUAAUAAACAUUAAGGGUGGUGUAAAAAGUGGUUAUAUUUUUUAUAUUUUGAAUUCUCCCCCUCCCCAAUAUAUUUACGAAAUAAAAUACAAGAGAUAUUUAUUGGUAAAUGAUUUGUGUUGAAUAAGUUUUUUCUUUUCAUUAGUGUAUUUUAAAAAAAUGUUUUUUUCAAGCUGUACAUUUUUCUUGGGUAUUGAAAAUGGCUUUGAAGAAUUUUUUUAUUAUUAGAUAUUGGAGACAAAGCCAAUCUUCUCUGUAUAUUUCACCUUAACAGUGUCUUAGAUUUGCAAUGUCUUUGCUUAUACCUCUAACCUUAGACAUCCAAUAUUUUUAUCAUCUAGAGCUCUGUAAAAAAAAAAAAAAAAUAAUAAUAUGAAAACAAAAUUGCAGAGUUCUAGAUAAUAAACAUUAAGGGUGGUGUAAAAAGUGGGUAUAUUUUGAAUUGUUAAAUGGCCUUAAAGUUUGAAUGUUUAAAUGGAAGUAGAAUUCUUUCAAUUUUAGAUGUUUUGCGAUAAAACCUAUCAUCUCGGUAUAUAUUUAUACUGUGUAUAACAGUGUCUUAAAUUCUGCAAUAUUAUGAUUUUGAAUGUCUUUGUUAACUCUUAACUUUUAACAUUUGAAUUCCAUUCAGUAUUAAAAUAAUAUGUGAUGCAAAUUUUUCUGGUUAUUCUCUGUUAUUAAAGAUGUUU